rnacentral:tRNA from 1 species
GCUCCUAUAGCUCAGUGGAAGAGCGCGACUUUAGUAAGGUCGAGGCCCGUGGUUCGACCCCACGUGGGAGCA